UGGGGAAUAUUGGACAAUGGGCGCAAGCCUGAUCCAGCAAUGCCGCGUGUGUGAAGAAGGCCUUCGGGUUGUAAAGCACUUUUAUCAGGAGCGAAACGCUGUCGGCUAAUACCCGGCGGAACUGACGGUACCUGAGGAAUAAGCACCGGCUAACUUCGUGCCAGCAGCCGCGGUAAUACGAAGGGUGCAAGCGUUAAUCGGAAUUACUGGGCGUAAAGCGUGCGUAGGCGGUUUCUUAAGUCUGCUGUGAAAUCCCCGGGCUCAACCUGGGAAUGGCAGUGGAUACUGGGAGGCUAGAGUGUGUCAGAGGGUGGUGGAAUUCCCGGUGUAGCGGUGAAAUGCGUAGAGAUCGGGAGGAACAUCAGUGGCGAAGGCGGCCACCUGGGACAACACUGACGCUGAGGCACGAAAGCGUGGGGAGCAAACAGGAUUAGAUACCCUGGUAGUCCACGCCCUAAACGAUGCGAACUGGAUGUUGGUCUCAACUCGGAGAUCAGUGUCGAAGCUAACGCGUUAAGUUCGCCGCCUGGGGAGUNCGGUCGCAAGACUGAAACUCAAAGGAAUUGACGGGGUCAUAGCUGUUUCCUG
rnacentral:rRNA from 1 species